GGCUGGGCAGGGGGCAGGACGGGGUGGCUGCUGAUGCACACAGGGUACCUUGGUGGCUGACGGAAAAGUCCAAAAUUAGUCGGAAGAGGUCGUGUA